GCCUGGUUACGUGCUACGCUUUGAAGGGAAGCUUUUUCAGUUUGACCAAAUCAGGGUUUCAUCACAGAUGUUUUGGGGUCGCUUGAGUUUAUUUGUUGGAGGUUAUUUAUUUUUUUAUAUAUAAGCAGAUGACCCCGUUUCGUUCUCUGCGGUUGUGUCACGCGUUUCAUUCUCAGUUCUGCUGAACAGUGGCCACCGUUAAUAUUGUAGCGAACUCGGGUUCUCGGGCUUGUGUCCUCACCGCGUGGGCUCGAACCCGGGUCGCCGGCGUCGCUCAACAGGCGUCUUGCCGGCAGAGCUAAAGAAGACCUUCCUCAGCCCUUCCUGUUAUGCGCAGGGGCGUAUUCGUCAUAAUAUACUGUAUAUCACAACCGUGUCGCCUCCUUAAAGAAACUCAAUCGUUGGUCACCCGCCUUAAAUACUGUGGCUCCUCUUACACCCCGUGCAUGUGAAACCCAGACGGCCUUCGCUGAAGGAAAGUUCACAGUUCAGGCUGAGAAGUAAUUCCUGCCUGCACACACACACACCGUGAAAGGCGAACCUGAUCAUCCAUAUUGUACAGGAGGCCUGCAACAGAAAACACACGACAGCCCUCCCCCUUGCCUCCACCACAUGCCUGUGUCUUUAAGUGGUAGAAAACAGCUGUCCCCUAAUUGGCACGAGCAGGGUGUCUGCGCUAUAUAUAAAACUCUUUGUUGGCUUUGUCGCGCGCUGAUAAUUUCUGCAUCAUGGAGACAGCGCCGGAUUCAUAAGCGCCUAAUGAAUUUCGCUCCAUUUUAUUUGAUGUUCGACGUAAGCCCUCGCAACAUCCUGGGAUUCACGGCUCCAGCGUCAUACCGAGGUUAAAGCACUAUUUAAUUUGCACGAUUUAAUCCUUUCACAGUUUUAGUCUGCUGAAGUAUAACGACUCAGCACUGUUGUUAAGCAGGGGUUCACCAGCAGCCUAUGCAAAACGAUGCAAAUAAGUUCAUUUUACAAACAAAACGAGUUCUCUCUCCGCCGAAUUGUAGGGCUAUGUCUAUCUACUGCUUCUGUCGUGUGAAAGUGUACAUCUGAAUGCCACCUACACAGACACAGUAAUCUGCUCUGUGGAAGGCUACAGGACUGCGCAUUUUUCUGCUGAGGCGCUUAAACAGUGUGAUAAAAAAGGAAACGUUGACACGUUCUGUUUGGCACGGGUAUAAAAAGGGUAUUAUCUUGAGACAAUCGCGUUUUCAGAUUAAAAAAACACCAAAACUUUGAGAGAAACUCAAUUAUUUGAAACUCAAACUCAUAUAUAUAGUAAAACCGUUCAAGAAGACUCGGGAAUGGAAUAUUUUAAGGAGUUGUUUUCCUGUUUUCAAGUGGAAAUGUAUUGCUUUGCAAAAUGGAGCGAGAGUCACAACGCGGGCAGAAGUGACGGUCAAACGGGCCAGCUCGAAGCUGUGUCAACUUUUGACUUCAUUGUAACGAGCUGGAAACAAAAUCUGAAACCCCAUUAAAUCUGGCGAUACCUUAUUUGGCAGGUGUACGACCACUUGUGCUGUAACACAGCCUGACCCCGAUGCGUUGGCGGGCUCCCUGGGUUGCGCUGCCCGAGCCACUGUCUCCGCUUAAAAUAGAUUAUAGAUGAAGCAUCGUUUUACGCCUGAGCUCAAGGCGGUUUACGCCCGGCGAUAAAAGCGGUGUCCCCUAUCAAUAACUACUUUCACAACUGAGGAUGGAAGUGGUUAAAGAAGUAAAAAAGUAUCCCGGAGCGAUAUAUUGAAGUAUCUAGUAUUCGGGGUGAACUAGACGUGAUCCGAACAGACGAGGUUUCCGAGUGGAAAGACGAAUCGAUGCAGAAGAGAUCGAGGUGGUUACUGUUCGGUGAGCGAAAACGCUGAGAAAUUCACGUAAACAGCACCUCGGCGACUCUAUAGUUUUGUUCUGCCUCGUUUUCCUGGCGACCACCCAGUGAGCCUGCGUGUUCGCGGAACACCUGAAAUAUCCGUAAAGUUUGUUCAGUAUAAUUAUCCGGCUGAAGGGAAGUGGAGAGGAAAACAAAGGGAUUGACACAUUCUCCCCGGUCUUUCGUCAAGGCGUUUCGCAACGUUUGCUUUGUUUUCGGUAACUUUUAUCGAACUGACAAAUGGAUAAAGACCGGUUCGCUGAAACGCUUUAAAAGCUUGAAAGCGAAGUUCAACAGGAGUGGAUCACGGCGCGCCAGCAACAUCUCAAGUUGGUUUUAAAAACUGAAUAAUAUGCCUUUGAAGAGCAGAAACCCACUCGCCAGCUUCAGCCGAGGUUAUAACAAAAGACACUAUGGCAAAAACGCGAUUGAGUAUAAAUAGCGUUUAAAAUAUUCCGAAGUUAUAGCACACAAAGCCUCGGAACGUGACGCACGGAGUACAAGGAAAGCGCCGUGGCGUUCUGGUGAGCUUGUGUUUGGAGAACAGCCCAAGGCACGACUGUUUGUCUUGGUGAAAGCUCACUCGGGACGGUUCGAGCGAGAUCGGGAUGUGAUGGCCAAGAGGCUUGGCUUCAGGCCAAAGCAAACCUUUAAGGACCAAGUCCCAUGAAAAACAAAACAACGGCUUUGUUUAUCGCCUCGGUGUUCAAACACCGCACUGUUUCGUGUAAACUGGGGGGGUGGGUGAGAGUGGCGCCCGGCAGCGCAGCGUGGCUCGGAGGGAAGAGUAUUGAAGAUCACGCGGUCAAGGGGAGUUCAAUCAAUUAAAAUACCCGGCAGCAGGAGAUCCGCACGAAACGAAAACUGAGGGUUUAAAACCUCAGAACUUCAAAGCCGCGUUUUCUUUUUUUUUUUGUUUGUUUGUUUUAAGCGAGAACUGGAUUUCUGCAUUUCUCUGUUCAUACCCCGUACGCGCACGGAAAUACAACAGUGACAUAUGGUUUAAUAAAGCCAUUAUACAGUUCGGUAAUGUGCUUUAUGAGAAAAGCUUUUUCACCGGGGCACGCCGAGCCGAUUUAUUUCAGCGACGUGUUGUCAGACCUGUUGAAAAAUAACGUUUUAGUCGUGUUUCUUUCGUGAUUAGGGUAGGUUAUAAACGGGGUGUCUCACGCCGGGAAAUGGUAAGAACGUGUAUGUUUCUGUUUAAGCGUCGCCGCUGAGAUCAACUAUAUAUCUUGCGGUUUAUGUCGAACAUCAGAGCAUGGGAUUUGCGGACCCGUCCAGAACAACUUGAAGGGAACAUCACCGUAUUAAAAAAAAAAGUCCGGUGUACUAAUACAGUGCUUGAGCCAUUAGGCGAACCUCAAGGAAGUAAUCAAAGAGCAGGAAAAAAAGACUUUUGAAACGGCUGAGCAACUGAACUGAUCACAUCACGUAUUGCAUCACGGUUGCAUACGGUGUUUCUGUGUUCAAUGCCCAGAAAGCAGUCCUGGGUGACAUCUCCAGCACGCCAGCUUCUAAACAGAAAAGACCCGGUUCUCCUUGCUGGUAGUAGGUCAGAACAUCGAAACAGACUUAUUGGCAGGGUUACACUGUAUGGUUUAUGGAGAUUUUAGGAUGGGGUUAUUACUUUGUGUCCUAUAAUUUUACUAUCUGCCUCAUAAUAGCUAUUCACAGUGCAGCAUGAAUAAUUCUCCUCUUCAACACACCUACUGCGAAGGCAUUCACGGAUUUCUAACAUUCCCAGCUGUCCAGGCAACGUGAAUGUACAGCCCGCUUUCUCUUUACGGUCGAAACGGCGAUAGCGGAGCUAUUUCUUUGUCAGUGCAAUUCACAUGUUUCCAGAGAUGAAUGAUUUAACAGCCGCUGCCUGAACGCCUUUGACCUCGGAGGCACCCCAAGGUCGGGCAGGUACUUUCUCUGGCGUUCUCCGAGGGGAACGUGUCUUUUUCAAACCACUUUUGUUUUGUUUUUGUGGUCUCAUGACCAAGAAACGAAGGUUCGAAGGUCGGGUGAAAACGUCCUAAGUGAAGAGCCCGUUCACAGCGUCUGACUGGAAGAAGCGAAAGUGUGUUCCCGCCAUCACAGGAGACUGUGGGACCGGAACCGAACUUUCUUCUGUGAGCUCCUGAGGGAUCGCACUCCUCCGUCUCUUCGCUGAGAAGUUUGAAGCGCUUAAUCUCCCUCCCUCCUCUCUCCAUUUUUUUUGCACACAUCAUGAACAUUCUCCGGUCUCAUUAAAGGCCUGCUAACACAAUCCCUGAUAUAGUGCUAUUACUGUGCUUUAGCUCCAAACUACAUCCAACCCCAUUAAAAGCACCUUCAUUAAAAGGCUCAGACCGGCGGCUCCCAAGGACAGCGUGUAAUGAGGGGAGAUGACGGGUGUCUCUGACAGCUUCAUUAAACCUGCUCUUCAGCGCUGCCGACCCCACCCUCUUAAUGAGAUUAAUUCCUUUGACAGACCUACUUAUUUAUUUUUAAUGGUUAAAUUUUUUAGAAAUGUGGAAGUGCACAGAUUUUCCUUCACUGCUCCCUUCUGUAGUCUCCACUCUGUCAAGUAUGUACACAGUAAUUACCGAGAUCAUCGGCAGGGCCCGAGAUAAGAGUUGCAUCCUGCCUCAACACCUUUAUUAUGGAAAAAAAUACAUACGUGUGUUAAUGCCCAUUGUGUGUAUAUGUAUAUGUAUAUAUUCACCCACAGAAAUUAUCACACCAUUUUGGAUUUAUCUAUUCACAGAUUAAGCAUCCUUCCAAUUUUUAUUACAGAACUUCUGAAAGGAAAAGUGGGCAUACGCGCUGGACAUCUAUAUUUAUGGCUUUGCUGUUACGUUUGCAUUUUGUGUUUAUAAAUACCUCUGAAAUCCUACUUAGCCUUCUAGUGCAGGAAAGAGGACUAACUCCCACAUAUUUCUAAACAUUUUAAUGAUUACUUUAGAAGAUUUAACAAAAAAAAAACAUUUUCUCAGCACAUUUUAAGUACAAUUUCAUGCGUGGUUCCAGGAAAUUGAUCAACAGUUUGGAUGCCACCAAUGGAGCCAGAAUGUCAUCUGGUUUUCACUCCAGCUAAUAUUAAUUGAAUCCAUCAUUUGCUUAAUUAGGAGGAUUCAAGAUGCUUUCCAGAUUUCUAGAUUUCCAGAUGACUAGUGUGGCUGUAUACCUUUUUGACAGGAAGUAUUUGACUUCUCCCUGUUUUCUGUCCUGUCUCUCGGUCCCUCUGUUGCGAUAAGCACAGUACACCUGGUAUACACCUGCACACUGGAGCAACUGUGCGCUCCCGGUGACCUGAUAGCAGGUGAACAUGCAAAACAGCGCCUGCUGGGCAGAGUAUACGAUGACCUUCACACUGUUUCUGGAACAGAACUAUUUACAGAAAACGAAGCGCAGAAAAGUCCUACUCCGCUGUAGCAGUACAGCACGGUAAGAUCCCAGAGAGAAACGUGUUGUGACUAAAAACAGACUUGUUUUCCAUAGUACACGGCACAGGAAAGCUUUUUUGGAGAGCACGAAUUAAGGCAGAAUUAUAUAAAAAACGUAAUGCUUUAUUAUAAGCAAGACUUUGAGGUAUGCUGUUUGGAAAUGUUUAAUGCAAAUAGCUUUUUUAAGGAUGUUUUAGGUUUGAGAAACGUCAUACCAAAAAUACAGUUCUGUCUUAACUGUCAA